rnacentral:lncRNA from 1 species
GUCUCUGGGGAAGGCUGAGGCCUGAACAAGCCAGUAGCAUUUAGCAUGGUCCAUGCACUGUGUGUCACCAUGGGAAGGCAUUAUGGAGUUGCUGAAGCUCCAGUGGAAUCCGGAGGAUGAAGACAAGCUUGGCAUGUGUAGAAAGGGGAGACAGCCUUGGUGAUAUGUCCUACCUGAUGUCACAGCUCUAACCAGGACAAGAAGGGCGGCCUGCACCCUGCUUCUGGCAGUCACCUAUGCACAUGAAAGGCUGCUCCUCAUGCCUGGGGACAGCAUGUCUCUCCAUGUGUCCCAGCAGCAUAGCCUCACUCCACGAGGAAGGAUGGAUGUCACACCACCAGCUGGAAAACCUCUUUAUUGUAAAAAUCACACCCUACCCUAAAAGCACAUGGCAAUGAACAUUUCUGAGUGGAGGAGGAUGCCCCGGCGUCUGUUAAUUAGCCAGGAAGCCAUGCUUGUUUCCUAGUGCAGGGUGAC